UACGUAGGGUGCAAGCGUUAAUCGGAAUUACUGGGCGUAAAGCGUGCGCAGGCGGUUCUAUAAGACAGAUGUGAAAUCCCCGGGCUCAACCUGGGAACUGCAUUUGUGACUGUAGAGCUGGAGUACGGCAGAGGGGGAUGGAAUUCCGCGUGUAGCAGUGAAAUGCGUAGAGAUCCGGAAGAACACCGGUGGCGAAGGCGGUGAGCUGGGCAGUUGCUGACACUGAGGCGCGACAGCGUGGGGAGCAAACAGG
rnacentral:rRNA from 1 species